CGAACGGGUGAGUAACGCGUGAGGAACCUGCCUCAAAGAGGGGGACAACAGUUGGAAACGACUGCUAAUACCGCAUAAGCCCACGGCUCGGCAUCGAGCAGAGGGAAAAGGAGCAAUCCGCUUUGAGAUGGCCUCGCGUCCGAUUAGCUAGUUGGUGAGGUAACGGCCCACCAAGGCAACGAUCGGUAGCCGGACUGAGAGGUUGAACGGCCACAUUGGGACUGAGACACGGCCCAA
rnacentral:rRNA from 1 species